AUUCAUCUCUUGGAACUUUUGAUCCAGAAGAUCCUCUCGAUUACGAAUCUCGAGGGUCUUCUGAUAAAAUGAAGGUAGGAACCCUCCGGGGGUGGAAUCGUGAUCAGACAGAGGGCUCUCCGUCCUCUGCUUCUCCUUUCCGGGGGAUACAGGGCGACUAGCCCAAGUGGGCCGCCCGAUCGUCGGAUUCUGAAACUCCGACGAUACUCUUUCCAGCCGCACAGAUGCCUGCGGCUG
rnacentral:lncRNA from 1 species